AUCAAGGAGAUGGCAAUUCUAACAGGGUGUCUGUGAUCAUUCCAGUCUGACCAAAGACAUGACAGGGAAGGAGGAUGUUUACCGUGGGCCGGCCAUCCGAGCGCUGUGCAGGAUCACUGACGGAACAAUGUUGCAGGCCAUCGAGAGAUACAUGAAACAAGCCAUCGUGGACAAAGUCCCCAGUGUGUCCAGUUCUGCUCUGGUGUCUUCCCUG